rnacentral:rRNA from 1 species
AUGAACGCUGGCGGCGUGCUUAACACAUGCAAGUCGAACGGAAAGGCCCAAGCUUGCUUGGGUACUCGAGUGGCGAACGGGUGAGUAACACGUGGGUGAUCUGCCCUGCACUUCGGGAUAAGCCUGGGAAACUGGAUCUAAUACCGGAUAGGACGAUGGUUUGGAUGCCAUUGUGGAAAGUUUUUUCGGUGUGGGAUGAGCUCGCGGCCUAUCAGCUUGUUGGUGGGGUAAUGGCCUACCAAGGCGUCGACGGGUAGCCGGCCUGAGAGGGUGUACGGCCACAUUGGGACUGAGAUACGGCCCAGACUCCUACGGGAGGCAGCAGUGGGGAAUAUUGCACAAUGGGCGCAAGCCUGAUGCAGCGACGCCGCGUGGGGGAUGACGGCCUUCGGGUUGUAAACUCCUUUCGCUAGGGACGAAGCGUUUUUGUGACGGUACCUGGAGAAGAAGCACCGGCUAACUACGUG